UGUGGUUUCUGCAUAUGGUAUUCAAGAUGGAACUCACUGUGGGAGGGCUGAGGUGUUAUUCUGGUUGUAUGAUAGACAAUAGCUCAGGGAUCCUCUCAUCAUUCUUCCCUCAACCACUCCCGUGGCAAAGAUCCAAAUUCUCAUAUUUCCACUAAAAGCUUUCCCCGAUCAGCUUUCAAGUCCUCUGGUUUGUAUUUCGACUUUCCAGACAAAUAAUCACAAGGUGUCCCUGGAGAGGCUGUGGGUGAUGAGCACUUGGCAGAGGUUAGGAUGCUCUUCGCAGAGAAACACUUCCAUGGGAAGGAGACAGAAACAGUUUGGAGUCUAUUCGUCAUGGUUUGGUGUCCUGCGGAUUUCACUGGAAUGAAUCAAUAAGAAAACCAGGCUGGGAGAUGUGAAAUAACUUUCCCAAGGUCAAAAGGCUGGUGAGUAGAGGAGCCAGGAUGCAAAUGGAAGCCUCUCUGACUCUAGGAACCUACGCUUUGAAAACCAUCACCAAAUGUUGGUUGACUAUUGAUUAACCUUGUGCCAGAAUCUGGGAGAAUUUUACAACAAUCGUAAAGCCUAAGAAGCUGAUCUGGAAAACAUCAUUGGAAUCUGUUUAUUCUGUGCUAUGCCAACCAGAACAAAGAUGGGACAAACCACCUUUUUGUCUGUCACAGAAGAUCUGUACCAAAUGAAAAAAUGGGCAGUCUUCUCUCCCCUGUGUUGGUGCUUUCUCUUGAAGCAGCCAGUGUUGUCUCUGU